CCUACGGGAGGCAGCAGUAAGGAAUAUUGGUCAAUGGACGCAAGUCUGAACCAGCCAUGCCGCGUGAAGGAUGAAGGUCCUCUGGAUUGUAAACUUCUUUUAUAGGGGACGAAACCUCUUUUUCUAAAGAGACUGACGGUACCCUAGGAAUAAGCACCGGCUAACUCCGUGCCAGCAGCCGCGGUAAUACGGAGGGCGCAAGCGUUAUCCGGAUUCACUGGGUUUAAAGGGUGCGUAGGAGGGCAGGUAAGUCAGUGGUGAAAUCUCCGAGCUUAACUUGGAAACUGCCGUUGAUACUAUCUGUCUUGAAUAUUGUGGAGGUGAGCGGAAUAUGUCAUGUAGCGGUGAAAUGCUUAGAUAUGACAUAGAACACCAAUUGCGAAGGCAGCUCGCUACACAUAUAUUGACUCUGAGGCACGAAAGCGUGGGGAUCAAACAGGAUUAGAUACCCUGGUAGUCCACGCCCUAAACGAUGGAUACUCGACAUACGCGAUACACAGUGUGUGUCGUGAGACGAAGACAUUAAGUACUACCCACCCGUACGGAAGGUACGACCGACCGACGUUAGUAACGUACGAAGUAGUAAGUUAGUACGGACGUAGAGACGUUACGCCGACGGACGACGACGAGGGAGGUAGG
rnacentral:rRNA from 1 species